rnacentral:snoRNA from 1 species
UAGCUGGAUGAUGAGGAGCUCUCCUCGUACAUCCGGGCCAGGUUGGAUCUCGACUUCAACCAGGUUGUCUCCACCAUCACCGCACGGACUGAGCCCCUAACCCUAGGUGAACUUUACACCCAGCUUGUUGGUUUUGAGC